UGGGGACUUUUGCACAAUGGGGGAAACCCUGAUGCAGCGACGCCGCGUGAUUUAGAAGGCCUUCGGGUUGUAAAAAUCUUUUCUAUGGGAAGAAAAUGACAGUACCAUAGGAAUAAGGACCGGCUAAUUACGUGCCAGCAGCCGCGGUAAUACGUAAGGUCCGAGCGUUGUCCGGAAUCAUUGGGCGUAAAGGGUACGUAGGCGGGUAAGCAAGUUAGAAGUGAAAUCCUAUAGCUCAACUAUAGUAAGCUUUUAAAACUGCUCAUCUUGAGGUAUGGAAGGGAAAGUGGAAUUCCUAGUGUAGCGGUGAAAUGCGCAGAUAUUAGGAGGAAUACCGGUGGCGAAGGCGACUUUCUGGCCAUAACCUGACGCUGAGGUACGAAAGCGUGGGUAGCAAACAGG
rnacentral:rRNA from 1 species